rnacentral:misc_RNA from 1 species
UCUCCGUAGGUGAACCUGCGGAGGGAUCAUUACAGGGUUCUCGCCCUCGCGGGUAGAUCUCCCACCCACUGUUAUCGUUACUGUGUUGCUUUGGCGGGCCGCCGGGCCCCGCUCGGCCGCCGGCUCCGGCUGGCGCGCACCCGCCAGAGGCCCAGCAAACUCUGAAUGUUAGUGUCGUCUGAGUACUAUAUAAUAGUUAAAACUUUCAACAACGGAUCUCUUGGUUCUG